rnacentral:rRNA from 1 species
UACGUAGGGGGCAAGCGUUGUCCGGAAUCAUUGGGCGUAGAGAGCGUGUAGGCGGUCCGAUAAGUCGGUUGUGAAAGUCAAGGGCUCAACCCUUGAAUGCCGACCGAUACUGUCGGGCUAGAGUCCGGAAGAGGCGAGUGGAAUUCCUGGUGUAGCGGUGAAAUGCGCAGAUAUCAGGAGGAACACCAAUGGCGAAGGCAGCUCGCUGGGACGGUACUGACGCUGAGGUGCGAAAGCGUGGGGAGCAAACAGG